AAUUGCAAAGAAAGUGAUUUCUCUGUUCCGACAAAUAUAUAUUCACAACGUUUGAGAGCGAAACAUAGAGUAUUCCCUAGUCACAUAUGCCUGCAACGUGGAAUUAAGUGCAGUUUGGUUAAUUGUCGAUUACACUUUCAGGUACGGAGGCAAACUACAAAAUGCCAGGCCAUAUCUGUGCUUGACUGUGUAUCUGCGUCCAUACGCACACAAAGAGAGGCAUGCGGCAAGGAUGGCGUUUGAUGCACCACUGCAGCCACUAAUAGACUUCGUGGCAAAGAGCUAAGGGGCGUGCAUGUAUGUCUGUGUGGUGCAGAUACAGCUUCACUUUUGGCAGAAGGCUUUUAGACAUCAGAGCGAAAGGCUUCAUUAGUAGAGCUCGAUUUUCGUGAAAAUGGGUCAGCGUUGAGAGUGGCAAAAGAGAAAAAUAGAGAGAGACGGAGAAAGAAAGAGAGAUAUAGAGACAAAAAAGAGAGAGGUCAAAAAAGAUGAAAGAGAACUAAAUUUACCUUGAUAAUUUGUUAAGCCGUAGCAGAAGGGCCGAAUUUUGUUUUGUCUGUAUUCAGUUGUGGCGCAAGAUAAUAUUUGUGCAAUGAAAUUAAUUUGUUAGUUUAAUGAAAUAUCUUCAAGAUAUUUGCGGAACAAGGUAUCGAUGAUUUAACAAACAAAUAAAACGCGUACUGUGCGGACACUACGGGGACGUAUGUUCAUUUUAGGUCUUUAGCUCCUAGUAUAAAACGAUUUUGUUUAAAAGAAAAAUAAAUGUAUAUCAUUUAUAUAUUAGCUAAAACUACGUUUAAGCGAAUUUAUUAAAACUAAAUUCAUUAAAUUAAAAAUGUGUAGUACAUAAAUAAAAUAUGUCGACAUAAAUUAUUCUGUGUUUAUAGCUA